CCCUUAGAGUUUGAUCAUGGCUCAGGAUGAACGCUAGCGGCAGGCCUAACACAUGCAAGUCGAACGGUAACAGGGAAAAGCUUGCUUUUCCGCUGACGAGUGGCGCACGGGUGCGUAACGCGUAUACAAUCUACCUUUUGCUGUGGGAUAGCCCAGGGAAACUUGGAUUAAUACCGCAUAGUAUAUAAGAUCGGCAUCGUUUUUAUAUUAAAGGUUACGGCAAAAGAUGAGUAUGCGUCCUAUUAGCUAGAUGGUGUGGUAACGGCACACCAUGGCGACGAUAGGUAGGGGCCCUGAGAGGGGGAUCCCCCACACUGGUACUGAGACACGGACCAGACUCCUACGGGAGGCAGCAGUGAGGAAUAUUGGGCAAUGGAGGCAACUCUGACCCAGCCAUGCCGCGUGCAGGAAGACUGCCCUAUGGGUUGUAAACUGCUUUUAUACGGGAAGAAACACCGCUACGUGUAGCGGCUUGACGGUACCGUAAGAAUAAGGAUCGGCUAACUCCGUGCCAGCAGCCGCGGUAAUACGGAGGAUCCAAGCGUUAUCCGGAAUCAUUGGGUUUAAAGGGUCCGUAGGUGGAUAAUUAAGUCAGAGGUGAAAUCCUGCAGCUCAACUGUAGAAUUGCCUUUGAUACUGGUUGUCUUGAGUCAUUGUGAAGUAGUUAGAAUAUGUAGUGUAGCGGUGAAAUGCAUAGAUAUUACAUAGAAUACCGAUUGCGAAGGCAGAUUACUAACAAUGUACUGACACUGAUGGACGAAAGCGUGGGGAGCGAACAGGAUUA
rnacentral:rRNA from 1 species